UACGUAGGGGGCAAGCGUUGUCCGGAUUUAUUGGGCGUAAAGAGCUCGUAGGUGGUUCGGUAAGUCGGAUGUGAAAUCUCCAGGCUCAACCUGGAGGGGUCAUUCGAUACUGCCGUGACUAGAGUUCGGUAGGGGAGUGUGGAAUUCCUGGUGGAGCGGUGAAAUGCGCAGAUAUCAGGAGGAACACCCGUAGCGAAGGCGGCACUCUGGGCCGAUACUGACACCGAGGAGCGAAAGCGUGGGGAGCGAACAGG
rnacentral:rRNA from 1 species